rnacentral:lncRNA from 10 species
CGGGAAGUCUGUUCCUUGCAGACCCCUGACCACGCGAUGAAUGAAUAAAGUACACUGACACACAGAUAUUCUGCUCUGCCAGUCCAGCUGAGGGUCCAAGCCCCUUACAGGCUCCCUGCUGAGCCCUGUAAACAGUUGCGACUCGGCAGGGAGCCUGUAAGCACCUGGGACCCUCAGAAUAUCUGUGUGUCAGCGUACUUUAUUCACCGGUCAUUGGGUCAGGGGUCUGCAAGGGACAGACUCCCCACAGCUGGUGACCCCUCGAGAGGAGCCCUGCCCCCAGCUGGUGCCCCAUGUGAGGCGCUGUGUGAGGAACUGUGUGAGGAAUGCUGUGAAGGAAACGCGACGAACCGCCCGAAAACGAAGACAGAACAGCAUGUGGAGACUCACACAGUGAAAUUUUCCUCCAAGAAGUACUGCAUGAACAUACCAGGAAAACCAAAAGAAUUCACAGGACCUUUGAAAGAAGUGGCUUGCCGCUGCAAACUCCAUGAGACAGCUGAAAAACUGGCAAAGCGGCUGAGAUCUUUGAACUCCCUUUGAACUUUGAGAAUGGUGACUGGAAGAUGACAAUUCAUGUUGUUUUCAGGAAAGCUAUGACCGAGAAACCAAGGAACUCACUAUCUUGUCCUCUUGGAUGCCAGCUAUAAAUUGAAUCAAGUUGGACACCGGAAUUUUGACCACUUUCCACCUUUCUAUCGUGGUCAGGUUUCUUCAUGAGAAGAGGAGAUUCGGUCACAGGCAUGUACAGAAGAAGACUGUGUGAAGACACAGAAGAAGUUAUCUACAAACCAACGAGAGAGGCUUCAGAAGAAACCAACAUUGUUGACACCCUGAUCUUGGAUUUCUAGACUCAGGAAUUAUGAGAAAAUAAAUUUUUAUUGUUUAAGCCACC